CUUACUUGUUAGUGGUCUGCAGUCAGAAGCUUAAACUUGACUGUAGGUUGUUGUUUUUUUUUUUUUUUAACCUCCCAACAAGCAAAUAAAAAACAAACAUAAGUUAUAGAAAAGGCAUAUUUUUUAAAAUACUGUAUGUUAGUUGAGGAAUUUUCUUCUGUGAUUAUUGUUAUAUGAUUUUCAAGGUAGGUGAGAAAAACUCAGUAAUCCUUAAAGAAAGAAAAAGCAUCCUAGGAAUUCUGAUACUGGGACUGUCAGCAUAAUCUGUACCUCUGUAGCAGAGAACAACAGCUUUCAGAGGAACAUUUCAUAUUACAAAUCUGGUCCCCAAGCCACAUUCCAAAAACAUGAUUUCAGACAAAGUAGCUCACUGCCAUUUUCCCUUUUCCAACCUCAUAACUGUUAAUUUAGUGUGGUCAAUUUUAUUGCCAGUUAUUGAUUUUAAACACAAUUCAUUUAGACACCCAGGAAAACUGUGAGCAUCUUUAGAAGUAAAAGCCAUCUUUCACAAUUAUCCUCCUUUUCCUGCAAAAUCAAUUUCAUGAUAGCAAAGCAAGGAUUUGUUGACAGAAACACUUCCAUGGUGAUGAACUGCAACACCAACGCUGUGGGCUUGCAUCAUCAUUAAAUAAAUUUGGAUGAAAGCUGAGGUUAGUGAUGAAUGAGAAAGCUUCUGUUUAAACACAUUUAUCAUGGGAAUCGGCAGUGACCCAACUGUAUUACAGAAUACAUGAUGGUCUAAAUGUUUUUCAAAACUGUUUUUAAGUUACCUUGGAUUAGAACUUUAGAAGAAACUACAACUGUUAUUUUAUAUCUUUUAAAGUAGACACUGAUAAUGUUGCUACAUGGGAUAUCUUUUAAGAUAAUAAUCAAGAGAGUACAUAUAAAGUUUUGGUGAAUAGUGAUCAACUAAUAAAAAACAGAAAUAGUUUAUAAUCAACUAAUAAUAAACAGAAACUAGAAAGAAUUAAAAUACAAAGUCUUCC
rnacentral:lncRNA from 1 species